CCAAGGAGUGCAACAUGCGUGCGAGUCUCGGGGUGGCAAACCCGUCGGCGCAAUGAAAGUGAAGGCAGGGCCUGGUUCCCUGCCUAGGCGAGAGCCCCCGCCUCUGUGGGGCGCAUCGUCGACCGAUCCCGGGCUACGCUGUGGCGGGAUUUGAGUGAGAGCGUGCCUGUUGCGACCCGAAAGAUGGUGAACUAUGCCUGAAUAGGGUGAAGCCACGGGAAACUCUGGUGGAAGCUCGCAGCGAUUCUGACGUGCAAAUCGAUCGUCAAAUUUGGGUAUAGGGGCGAAAGACUAAUCGAACCAUCUAGUAGCUGGUUCCCUCCGAAGUUUCCCUCAGGAUAGCUGGAGCCCGGUGCGCAGUUUUAUCAGGUAAAGCGAAUGAUUAGAGGUCUUGGGGCUGCAACAGCCUCAACCUAUUCUCAAACUUUAAAUGGGUAAGAGGCUCGGCUUGCUCGGUUGAAGUCGGGCGACGAAUGCCGGGGCUCCCAGUGGGCCAUUUUUGGUAAGCAGAACUGGCGAUGUGGGAUGAACCAAAUGCCGGGUUAAGGUGCCCGAAUCGACGCUCAUCAGAUCCCAUGAAAGGUGUUGGUUGAUAUAGACAGCAGGACGGUGGCCAUGGAAGUCGGAAUCCGCUAAGGAGUGUGUCCGCUAAGGAGUGG
rnacentral:rRNA from 1 species